rnacentral:snoRNA from 1 species
GCUCACAAGAACACUUAUCCUGCCACGUGGCUGAGAUGGGUUCUGGGACAAUGUGAGCUAGAUCAAGAGUAUUGCUUUGGGAGUGUCUCAUUUCAGGACCCAUGGGGCACUACAGUUUUCAAUACAACACGU